AGUUUGAUCCUGGCUCAGGACGAACGCUGGCGGCGUGCCUAAUACAUGCAAGUCGAACGAACUCUGGUAUUGAUUGGUGCUUGCAUCAUGAUUUACAUUUGAGUGAGUGGCGAACUGGUGAGUAACACGUGGGAAACCUGCCCAGAAGCGGGGGAUAACACCUGGAAACAGAUGCUAAUACCGCAUAACAACUUGGACCGCAUGGUCCGAGUUUGAAAGAUGGCUUCGGCUAUCACUUUUGGAUGGUCCCGCGGCGUAUUAGCUAGAUGGUGAGGUAACGGCUCACCAUGGCAAUGAUACGUAGCCGACCUGAGAGGGUAAUCGGCCACAUUGGGACUGAGACACGGCCCAAACUCCUACGGGAGGCAGCAGUAGGGAAUCUUCCACAAUGGACGAAAGUCUGAUGGAGCAACGCCGCGUGAGUGAAGAAGGGUUUCGGCUCGUAAAACUCUGUUGUUAAAGAAGAACAUAUCUGAGAGUAACUGUUCAGGUAUUGACGGUAUUUAACCAGAAAGCCACGGCUAACUACGUGCCAGCAGCCGCGGUAAUACGUAGGUGGCAAGCGUUGUCCGGAUUUAUUGGGCGUAAAGCGAGCGCAGGCGGUUUUUUAAGUCUGAUGUGAAAGCCUUCGGCUCAACCGAAGAAGUGCAUCGGAAACUGGGAAACUUGAGUGCAGAAGAGGACAGUGGAACUCCAUGUGUAGCGGUGAAAUGCGUAGAUAUAUGGAAGAACACCAGUGGCGAAGGCGGCUGUCUGGUCUGUAACUGACGCUGAGGCUCGAAAGUAUGGGUAGCAAACAGGAUUAGAUACCCUGGUAGUCCAUACCGUAAACGAUGAAUGCUAAGUGUUGGAGGGUUUCCGCCCUUCAGUGCUGCAGCUAACGCAUUAAGCAUUCCGCCUGGGGAGUACGGCCGCAAGGCUGAAACUCAAAGGAAUUGACGGGGGCCCGCACAAGUGGUGGAGCAUGUGGUUUAAUUCGAAGCUACGCGAAGAACCUUACCAGGUCUUGACAUACUAUGCAAAUCUAAGAGAUUAGACGUUCCCUUCGGGGACAUGGAUACAGGUGGUGCAUGGUUGUCGUCAGCUCGUGUCGUGAGAUGUUGGGUUAAGUCCCGCAACGAGCGCAACCCUUAUUAUCAGUUGCCAGCAUUAAGUUGGGCACUCUGGUGAGACUGCCGGUGACAAACCGGAGGAAGGUGGGGAUGACGUCAAAUCAUCAUGCCCCUUAUGACCUGGGCUACACACGUGCUACAAUGGAUGGUACAACGAGUUGCGAACUCGCGAGAGUAAGCUAAUCUCUUAAAGCCAUUCUCAGUUCGGAUUGUAGGCUGCAACUCGCCUACAUGAAGUCGGAAUCGCUAGUAAUCGCGGAUCAGCAUGCCGCGGUGAAUACGUUCCCGGGCCUUGUACACACCGCCCGUCACACCAUGAGAGUUUGUAACACCCAAAGUCGGUGGGGUAACCUUUUAGGAACCAGCCGCCUAAGGUGGGACAGAUGAUUAGGGUGAAGUCGUAACAAGGUAGCCGUAG
rnacentral:rRNA from 1 species